rnacentral:rRNA from 1 species
GACAGAGGUGGCAAGCGUUGUUCGGAAUCAUUGGGCUUAAAGCGCACGUAGGCGGCCUUUCAAGUGUUCUGUGAAAUCCCUCGGCUCAACCGAGGAAUUGCAGGGCAUACUGUCGGGCUUGAGGCAGGUAUGGGCGAGUGGAACUCUUGGUGGAGCGGUGGAAUGCGUAGAUAUCAAGAGGAACGCCGGUGGUGAAGACGAUUCGCUGGGCCUGUCCUGACGCUGAGGUGCGAAAGCCAGGGGAGCAAACGGG